CCCUUAGAUGUUCUGGGCUGCACGCGUGCUACAAUGGCGUUUCCAGCAAGUCUGCGAACCCGAGAGGGCCAGCGGAUCUUCGAAUUGGCGUCGUGAUCGGGACAGUCGAUUGCAAUUAUUUGACUCAAACGAGGAAUUCCUUGUAAUCGCGAUUCAUCAUAUCGCGCUGAAUACGUCCCUGCCCUUUGUACACACCGCCCGUCGCUCCUACCGAUUGAGCGAUCCGGUAAAUGUGUUGGAUUGGUGCCGGGGCGGCUAGCUGCCGGUCGCUACGAAAUUUUGUGAACCUUAUCGCUUAGAGGAAGGAAAAGUCGUAACA
rnacentral:rRNA from 1 species